rnacentral:lncRNA from 1 species
AGGGCAUUCGUAUAUAAAGGUCAACAUUUCAGUUAUUUGUCGCUUAUUCAGCUGAGCUCACUGUCACAACCACCACAACAGGUAAGUCAAGCAGUAUUAAUAAAUUUUUUUACUUGUUUAAAAUUUUUAUACUUAGAAACUUCACAUAGUUAGGCUUGAGUCAGAGGAAGGAGAUCUAGAGUUAAAAGUUAAUCUUUCUAUCCGAUGGAU